UACGAGGGGGGCGAGCGUUGUUCGGAAUUAUUGGGCGUAAAGGGUGCGUAGGCGGCGGGGCAAGUCUGAUGUGAAAUCCCGGGGCUCAACCCCGGAACUGCAUUGGAUACUGCCUUGCUAGAGUACUGGAGAGGAAACUGGAAUUUACGGUGUAGCGGUGAAAUGCGCAGAUAUCAGGAGGAACACCGAUGGCGAAGGCAGGUCUCUGGGCAUUAACUGACGCUGAGGAGCGAAAGCAUGGGGAGCGAACAGG
rnacentral:rRNA from 1 species